rnacentral:tRNA from 2 species
GCCGAGAUGGCGGAAUUGGUAGACGCGCUAGCUUCAGGUGCUAGUUGGGGUAACUCAGUGGAGGUUCAAGUCCUCUUCUCGGCACCA